UGGGGAAUAUUGGACAAUGGGCGCAAGCCUGAUCCAGCCAUGCCGCGUGAGUGAUGAAGGCCCUAGGGUUGUAAAGCUCUUUCACCGGUGAAGAUAAUGACGGUAACCGGUGAAGAAGCCCCGGCUAACUUCGUGCCAGCAGCCGCGGUAAUACGAAGUGGUCUAGCGUUGUUCGGAUUUACUGGGCGUAAAGCGCACGUAGGCGGACUAUUAAGUCAGGGGUGAAAUCCCGGGGCUCAACCCCGGAACUGCCGUUGAUACUGGUAGUCUUGAGUUCGAGAGACGUGAGUGGAGUUCCGAGUGUAGAGGUGAAAUGCGUAGAUAAUCGGAGGAACACCAGUGGCGAAGGCGGCUAACUGGCACGAUACUGACGCUGAGGUGCGAAAGCGUGGGGAGCAAACAGG
rnacentral:rRNA from 1 species